AACAAUAGCUCUGCUUUCUCUAAUAAAAUCUCUCUUCUGAGAUUAACUCUGGAGCUAGCAGUGAGGUCAGUGUUUCAUUUCAUAUAAGUCAGCUCAUGCUGACAAGGGUCUGGCCUUCUUAGUGAUGGGCCGUUUGCUGCUCAGAAGUGUGAGGAAUGGCUUUCUGAAAUAUCGAUAGCUCGCCUUCGCUGGAGUUCACAAUCAAAUUUAGCCGGCAAGUAUCAGUGCGCUACAGCCAGGCUGCAGGGCCACGAGGCUCAGGCUUGGGCCAGCCGCUAAGGUCUGCCUCCUAAAUCAGAGGCUAACUCUUCCAUUAGUGUAAAUCGGUGGUUUAUAACGAUGUCAAAUGAGAUUUGUGUCAGAGUAGCCCAGACUGCAGUCCGGUCUUGGGAUUUGAAAUGGAAUAGAAAAAUUAGACUCCGACCAUUAGAAUUAUUUUUUCAUUUCGUUUUGUUGUGCAUAUUUGUAAAUGUGCCUAUACACACAUGCACAUACAUGCAUUUUGUUCCCGUGGCCACGCGGCUGCCAUUUAACAUGGAACUAAGAGCAGAGAAUCUUCCUCCUGGUGUGGUUUGAUUGAUAUGUGCAGACAUCUCACAUAAAGGCUCUGGGAUCCCGCUUUUCAUCCAUAAAAGGAAAGCAGGCAAGCUUCAUCCCUGGCUAAACCCUUUGCACAAUAUACAUCAAUAAUGAGGCAGCAUCUAUUUAUACAUUGCUCACUGGAAAUGACUGAAUUCAGACAGAAGUUGGUGAGGCAGCCUGAGCUCCACCAGCCUCCAUGGAGUCUAUUGUUAGUACCCAGGAUGACUCCUCAGGCAAAUGGAGAGGAGAGGCACGAUUUGGAGCCUACCAUGCCACGGGAGGAAUACCAGCUUCCACACUUGGCAGGUGGUGUCUCCUCUCAGAGAAUGCCUUCACUGGCUCUGCCAGAGCCCGGCAAUCCUGGAGGAGGAGUGCAGGAGAAAUGGUCGCAAGAGCGCAGCCCCAUUGCAGCUCCCCAGGAAGUGGAAUGCUGACUUGGGUUUACCCACAGGGUGACAGCUCCCUGCCUUUCUUCAUGAGAAAAGGACAUGUCCAAGGGAGAAUGGGAGCAAGGCAGUUCUGCCUUCAUACACACUGAUUCUGUCUUGCCAUAUUGUUGCAGAAGGUUUUCAACAAUAUUUCCUUACCUAGAAAAAGAAAGGUGCAGUAAAAAAGCCCCGUUCAGCGUUACGAUCUUGGUGUGCCAAUUGUUCACCAGCACAUGUCUGUGAUGAUAAAGACUUGCUUGUCUGUGAGAUAUUUAUCAUAAAUAAGGUACUCAGAACCCCUUAGCAAAGCACAAUACAGACAGUGCUUUUGCUCCAUAUCCUUCUUCACUCCUGGUUUCCUCCGUGGCUCUUGUGUACUUUGCCCAUAUGCUCUAAAGCUAUUUUGUUUUCAGUUUUAUGUAUGUUUUAUGUAAAUUAGAAGAAUCGAGCUCCUCUGCUUGCUAAAUUAUAAAUUGAGUGGAAAUUGGCUGACUCUCUUUAGACUAUGUAAGUUACACAAGAUGUAAGUAAUCAAGCUCAGCAGGCUGGGAUAGGGAAAACACGUCAAUACCGUGGGCCAUGUGAGCUAUGUCCACGUGUCUCCGUGCACUGCUGCUUGCUUUUGCAGCCUCAAAUAUCUCUUUCCUCUAAAGUGCCAAUCUAACUCCUUUUAGACCAUUCUCCAAGACGCAGGUUUAUUGCUUCCUUUGGUAGUUUGCUCGGUAUAUUCAGUAUGCCUUGUAUAAAUGAACUGCUCUUAAAUGCCUGUUUCCACUCUCUUGCUUUAGGAUCAGAGUAGAUUCAGACUGCCUCCUCUGGGAGCACUGAUUCAUUUUCUUUACCUUCUUCCCCUGUAAGUUAAAAUGCCUGUUGAUUUUAGUGUCUGUCUCCUUGGCUUACUCCCUGCUCUGGCUCUAUUUCCCCUACCCCACACUGCUUUGCAUACGCCUGAAUCUUGCCCUGGGUUAUCUUUUCCUUAGUAGCCCAUUGCAACCUCACAGAGCAGGACUGUGGUGCAAGGGCAGGAGCCUGGCAGUGGCUGGCAGCCUGUGAAACACUGCCAGGAGAGCAGGGAGGUUGGCUGGUAUCUUGGGUCUUGAUGAGAUUGUGGAGAAUCUGCUGCAGGGCAGAAAAGACAGUCUCACUGUUAGGGCACCAGUUAGACCAAGUUUUUAGAAAAAAGGGCCCAAAAUCAGACACUUGGGCCUAUUUUUACAUAGCCAGGUAGGACCAGUGUUGUUAGAAGCAGGUGCUGCUCUGAAUGCAGAGUCCUCUUAAAACUGUCCAUGUUCAGAUGCUUGUGACACACCAAACUGCCCCUAAGAGAUGAGACUGAUUGCAGCCUCAGCACAGACAGGUAUUGGCUGCACCAGCAUCCACAUGCUGCCAGAGUGACCAAAAGCAGCCAUGUGCUGUGGCCAGUGGCUCAUCCACCCCAGGAACGCCAAGCUCCAUCUGGGCAGAGUUUGGGCUAGCUCUGCUCUCUGUCUUUUAGCUCCAUGAAAGGCAGCAAACAGAGAAAAACAUCUUCAGAGAGGUGGUGUGGUGCAGCUCAUAUCAACAGACCAACAUUUUAAAGCCAGCAUCUUGGAGAUUGAAUCCCAUUGCCAUGGAAAAUUCCAGCUUGAAAUGUAUUUCUUGGAGUGGGGGGGUGUGUGGAAAUGUGGCCAUUGGGUGGGCUCUGCAGGCUUGGCCCCAGGCACACACCUUUAGCAGGCAGCCUGUUCCCAGGUACUGCACUGCCCUGUGUGCUUUGCUGACCAUGGCCAGGUUGAGGCAUGUGCCCAACAAAAGGGGAUCCCAACUGAGUAGUCAGGUGGCCCUCAGCAGUCUCAGGCUGGGACUCACAGGGCACAAAGGGAAUCCUCUUUGUUCAGGGUCUGCCUAGCAGUUAUUUGAGUUUGGGGUCUCUUUCACUGAGUUCAUAGACUACAUGGGUUCUUAUUUUUUAAUUCAUUAAAUACUUUGAUUCAGUGAUAUACCUUCAGAAUACACUUAUUCUGUGCUGUCAAAUGUUUACUGAGAAUGAUAAAAUAUAUCCAACCUUCCUUUUUAGAGCUUCCUUUUAAUUCAAAGGGAAGGUGUAACCUUUUGUUUUCUGGUGUGAUUUUUACUGAACCUCUGCCUACUUUAUUUAUUAGGCCACAUAUAAAUUUAUUACCACUUGCGCUUCCAAAUAAAAGGCUCAUAGGUUGGUAAGCAGUCUAUAAGUUGAGCUGCUAUUCCUUGAAACUCAUAAAAGGAUGAUCUUGGUCCAUGGAAUCACUAAUUAAAGCUGCUUUUCAAUAUGCAAAAAUUAAGUUAACAGUAAUUAAUGUAGCCAGCCUGGAACCUUAGGAAACUACUGCCAGCAAGUGUCUUUUGGUGCACUCAAGAGGAUGCAGUUUGAUUGUUGGCACCAACAGACAGGUUGGGAAUUGUAAACAUGGUAAUUAGCAGUAAGUUUCUGGAUCUCAACUUGCCAGACUGGCAGUCUGAUUCUUGGAGUAGUUGUCGCAUGGGAGGAGGGAAAAACAAAGUAAGGGAAUUAGAGCAACCUUGCAUUGCUCCUCCAACAUAUGCCACUGGACCAAUGUUUUUCUUGGCAAAGAUCUCUGACAAGGCGCUUAAAAGCAGCAUUGCAGCCCUGCUGCAAACUGUGAACCUCACUGCAGGCAUCAACCAAGCAAUUGUCUCUGGCUCUUCUAUUUAAACUAUGAGUGUUGCUCCAUGGUAAGGAACUUCAGAGUCUGAGAUCCUUCCACUCCACCUCUAUGGUGGAGCACAGUGUUGAUAAGGUUAUCAACAAUAAUGGGAUUAAAAGAGUUAAAAUCCAGCUUUUGCGGUAAUCCUGGAGUAUUCUAUUGUUGAGCUAUCAAAGAUUAAGGUUAUAGUAACCUUAUUAAUCCUUGGUGUAGUGUAAAUAAAAAGGAAAUGUCAACCUUAAUUCCACCAUGAAAUUAAAUCUUCACUUCUCUAAAUGAUGAUUCAAAUGCAGCUUACUGCAGUCAAUAUGGUUUAUGAAAAUGCUUAACCCAUGUGAAUUUAAGAAAUCAAAUCUGAGAGACAGAGAGAGAGUGGUGAUAAAACAUAGUACUUGUUUUGUUUAAAAUGAAAAAAAAAAAAAGUGUUCAUUCAGCUUGUAUAUCUGCAGAAACUUUACCUAGAGCCAAAAAAACUAUGCAAAGAAUUAGGAAAGGACCAAAUGCUCAUGGUGUACAUCCCUGGGAGGCAGAGAAUGCAGCUGCUAGCCCACAGCAGAACAGCCAUCCCUGUGCCAAAAAGCAGCCACAGCACUGCUGGUGGUGACCCCAUCCCUGUCCCCUGCUUGCAGGACACUCUGUGGCCUUGUUAGUGCUGCCCCAGUAGCAGGGACAGGGCGCCCUGACACAAGAGUUUAACCGAGCAUUGAUCUACUUGUGCUUUCAGUGCCAGAGACAACGCGAUGAAAAAAUGUCAGAAAUGAAAUGGUUGCUGAACCUUCUGCAAACGGCAGGCCUUCACACGUGCUGGUGUGAAGGGCAAAGAUUUUCCUGGCUAAGGUGAUUUCUAGAGUGGGGGGAAGCUGCCUCUUUUGGCAAUGGAUCGUUUCCUCCUCACCUGUGCUAGGCACGGCCCCUGCUCACCUGCCCACAGGGGCCGAAUCUAUAAAUAGGUCUGAAAUUGCCCUCUGGGACUAACUACCUGAAGAGAGGGAAGGACAGACAGACAGACUGAACUUUGCUUAGAAGUCAAUGGGAUCUGGUCCAGCCCUACAGCCUAAGUUUCCUGGAGUAGUCCACCUUCCUUCCUUCCUCGCCAAAUGAUGCAAGGAAAGCUGUUGAUCUUCAGUCUGUGGAGACAAUCUAACAUCAGCAACUUUCUGGGGGUGCUGCUACAAGGUGAGCCUCGGACUCUGCCGACGUCCUCUGUCUGUGCUCCCAGAUGACAGCCCAGCGAUGGCAGAUGGAGGGACAUCCCAGGCUGGAUGGGACUGGGCCUUUGCUGCUCCCAGAGCUGCCCCACGCCAUGGGACCCCCAGCUGCUGGACACCUGACCCAGCUUGAUGCUGCUGGAGAUGUGUUGGGGCUGGCUCUGCUUGCUGCUGCCUGCCUGCCUUAUUCUUUUGAGUUAUGCCCCAGCCCGCUCCUGUCCUGUUGUGCUAGUGCCUCCGGGCUGUAUUGAGUUUUCAAUUAUCACAAUAUACAGUGCAGAUGCUAUGCAAAACAGCCAGUGUGGCAGAGCAUGCUGAACUCAGUAGAAACACAGUUAAAUAAAAGUACUACUAUAA